rnacentral:snRNA from 13 species
GAACUUACCUGGCCCCGGAACUAGGGUGAGCAUUGACCCCUUGGCCCCAGGUGGAGACUCACACUAGCACUACGGCUGGUUGAAGCCUGCGAUAAUCCUUAAUCGGGCUCUCUCAGGGGGGUAGCUUUGCCAGUAGGGAGGUUCUCGAGUCAUCCCUU